rnacentral:rRNA from 1 species
AUUGAACGCUGGCGGCAUGCCUUACACAUGCAAGUCGAACGGUAACGCGGGGCAACCUGGCGACGAGUGGCGAACGGGUGAGUAAUGCAUCGGAACGUGCCCAGUAGAGGGGGAUAGCCCGGCGAAAGCCGGAUUAAUACCGCAUACGACCUACGGGUGAAAGGGGGGGAUCGCAAGACCUCUCGCUAUUGGAGCGGCCGAUGUCAGAUUAGGUAGUUGGUGGGGUAAAGGCCUACCAAGCCUACGAUCUGUAGCUGGUCUGAGAGGACGACCAGCCACACUGGGACUGAGACACGGCCCAGACUCCUACGGGAGGCAGCAGUGGGGAAUUUUGGACAAUGGGCGCAAGCCUGAUCCAGCCAUGCCGCGUGCGGGAAGAAGGCCUUCGGGUUGUAAACCGCUUUUGUCGGGGAAGAAAUCUUCUGGGCUAAUACCUCGGGAGGAUGACGGUACCCGAAGAAUAAGCACCGGCUAACUACGUGCCAGCAGCCGCAGUAA